rnacentral:rRNA from 1 species
CCUACGGGAGGCAGCAGUGGGGGAUAUUGCACAAUGGGGGAAACCCUGAUGCAGCAACGCCGCGUGAAGGAAGAAGGUCUUCGGAUUGUAAACUUUUGUCCUUGGUGAAGAUAAUGACGGUAGCCAAGGAGGAAGCUCCGGCUAACUACGUGCCAGCAGCCGCGGUAAUACGUAGGGAGCGAGCGUUGUCCGGAUUUACUGGGUGUAAAGGGUGCGUAGGCGGAAGAGCAAGUCAGUAGUGAAAUCCAUGGGCUUAACCCGUGAACUGCUAUUGAAACUGUUCUUCUUGAGUGAAGUAGAGGUAGGCGGAAUUCCCGGUGUAGCGGUGAAAUGCGUAGAGAUCGGGAGGAACACCAGUGGCGAAGGCGGCCUACUGGGCUUUAACUGACGCUGAGGCACGAAAGCAUGGGUAGCAAACAGGAUUAGAUACCCUGGUAGUCC